GAAACGCGAUAGUUAAUGUGAAUUGCAGAAUUCAGUGAAUCAUCGAGUCUUUGAACGCACAUUGCGCCUUUUGGUAUUCCGAGAGGCACGCCUGUCUGAGCGUCAGUAAAACCCUUCGGCUUUGAAUUUAUUGUUCAUGCGCCGGUGCUGGCGGUGGGUACUCCCGCGAGGGAUGCUCCCGUUUAAACCUGACGGCGGGUGGUCAGCGGUCCGCGACAAUAGUAGAAAUAUAUUUGUCCAGUGGCUCCGUUGGUCCCAACCCGCAGCAAAAAAAACACCCCAAUUUUUUGACCUCAGAUCAGACGAGGAUACCCGCUGAACUUAA
rnacentral:misc_RNA from 1 species